ensembl:ncRNA B0379.9 ncRNA
AUUGCAAAGAACGCGGCGCCUUCCGUGCGCGCUGCUGCCAAAAUGUGCAAAAGAAGUGCUUGACAAAGAACAAAUAAGCAUUGCCGUAUGCCGUAUGCCGCGUGAGGGUAAAGGCGCGACGUGUGUGUAUAUACCAUAAGUAAUAUAAACUUGCUGCUCACUUCAACGAGUACUUGCUCACCGAUUAGUGGCGGAUCAUGAAGGGCGCGGAAGUCGGCGGCAGGUCUCACAUGUUGGCAAUGUGCCAAUCACGUUGAGCUUUUGAAA